AUGAGGGUAAACAAUCUUUCUCUUCCUAAAGUCUCAGACAACUUUGGAUAAGACUUUGGCCUGUGUGGCGUUUCCUUGUAUGGAAGUUCCGUAUCAGUGAACAUUUGUAUAGUUUCCUAACCUCGUGCAGUCAUAAUGAGUGCUGUAAGAAACAGCCUUUUACAUGGAUCAUCUCCCACAAGUGUAAGCUUAUGUAUCAGAUAAAUCCCCAGAAGUGGACUUUUGGAUCAAUAAAUAUGUGGUGCGAAUAGAUAUUGCACUAUAGCCCCCAAUAGAGGUUCUGCUUAUGUAUACCGAGGAUACAAGAAAUGACACAGCAAAUGCCUGAGAGUUACUGCCUCCCUGCAUCCUGCCAUCAGAAUGUGUUAUCAGUUACUGGUUUUGCUUGUUUUUUGCCAAUGUCAUAAGUGAAAAAUGCUUUAAUAUACAUUUCUCUGAUAAGCGA